rnacentral:rRNA from 1 species
GAAGGGGGCUAGCGUUGCUCGGAAUUACUGGGCGUAAAGGGCGCGUAGGCGGACAGUUUAGUCAGAGGUGAAAGCCCAGGGCUCAACCUUGGAAUUGCCUUUGAUACUGGCUGUCUUGAGUUCGGGAGAGGUGAGUGGAAUGCCGAGUGUAGAGGUGAAAUUCGUAGAUAUUCGGCGGAACACCAGUGGCGAAGGCGACUCACUGGCCCGAUACUGACGCUGAGGCGCGAAAGCGUGGGGAGCAAACAGGAUUAGAUACCCUGGUAGUCCACGCUGUAAACGAUGAGUGCUAGUUGUCGGCAUGCAUGCAUGUCGGUGACGCAGCUAACGCAUUAAGCACUCCGCCUGGGGAGUACGGUCGCAAGAUUAAA